rnacentral:rRNA from 1 species
AUGAACGCUGGCGGCGUGCCUAAUACAUGCAAGUCGAGCGAACAGACGAGGAGCUUGCUCCUCUGACGUUAGCGGCGGACGGGUGAGUAACACGUGGAUAACCUACCUAUAAGACUGGGAUAACUUCGGGAAACCGGAGCUAAUACCGGAUAAUAUAUUGAACCGCAUGGUUCAAUAGUGAAAGACGGUUUUGCUGUCACUUAUAGAUGGAUCCACGCCGCAUUAGCUAGUUGGUAAGGUAACGGCUUACCAAGGCAACGAUGCGUAGCCGACCUGAGAGGGUGAUCGGCCACACUGGAACUGAGACACGGUCCAGACUCCUACGGGAGGCAGCAGUAGGGAAUCUUCCGCAAUGGGCGAAAGCUUGACGGAGCAACGCCGCGUGAGUGAUGAAGGUCUUCGGAUCGUAAAACUCUGUUAUUAGGGAAGAACAAAUGUGUAAGUAACUAUGCACGUCUUGACGGUACCUAAUCAGAAAGCCACGGCUAACUACGUG